UGAAUGUUGGCUACAUUUAAAAAUGCGACUUUUUCCUUCUGGGCUCACCAAAGCGGACGUAAAAGUAUAUUAACCAUUCACUGCACGUGAUCGCUAAUAAACAUAUUACACUUGCUCCGCUAGUCUGUUGUUAGCUAGCUAGCUCUGAGUGGAU